rnacentral:rRNA from 1 species
UACGUAGGGUGCGAGCGUUGUCCGGAAUUAUUGGGCGUAAAGAGCUCGUAGGCGGUCUGUCGCGUCGAUCGUGAAAACUUGGGGCUUAACCCUGAGCUUGCGGUCGAUACGGGCAUCACUAGAGUUCGGCAGGGGAGACUGGAAUUCCUGGUGUAGCGGUGAAAUGCGCAGAUAUCAGGAGGAACACCGGUGGCGAAGGCGGGUCUCUGGGCCGAUACUGACGCUGAGGAGCGAAAGUGUGGGGAGCGAACAGG